UCAGGAUGAACGCUAGCUACAGGCUUAACACAUGCAAGUCGAGGGGCAGCGAGAAGAAAGCUUGCUUCUUGUCGGCGACCGGCGCACGGGUGAGUAACGCGUAUCCAACUUCCCCUUAGUAGGGCAUAGCCCGUAGAAAUGCGGAUUAAUACCCUAUGUUGUUCGAUGCGGACAUCUAAGUUGAACCAAAGGUUUACCGCUAAGGGAUGGAGAUGCGUCUGAUUAGGCAGCAGGCGGGGUAACGGCCCACCUGGCCGACGAUCAGUAGGGGUUCUGAGAGGAAGGUCCCCCACAUUGGAACUGAGACACGGUCCAAACUCCUACGGGAGGCAGCAGUGAGGAAUACUGGUCAAUGGGCGCGAGCCUGAACCAGCCAAGUAGCGUGCAAGGAUGACGGCUCUAUGGGUUGUAAACUGCUUUUAUGCGGGGAUAAAGUGCGGCACGUGUGCCGUUUUGUAGGUACCGCAUGAAUAAGGACCGGCUAAUUCCGUGCCAGCAGCGGC
rnacentral:rRNA from 1 species